AUUGAACGCUGGCGGAAGGCCUAACACAUGCAAGUCGAACGAGUGGCGGACGUGUGCGUAAGGACUGGGACACGGCCUGGUGGAGGGGGAGAACAACUGGAAACUGUAGCAACUACCGCCUAACAGAGGAUGUGCCCAGAGGGGAUGAGCUAGUAGGUGGGGUAAAGGCUGACCUAGGCGACGAACCCUAGCUGGUCUGAGAGGAUGACCAGCCACACUGGAACUGAGACACGGUCCAGACUCCUACGGGAGGCAGAAGUGGGGAAUAUUGCACAAUGGGCGCAAGCCUGAUGCAGCCAUGCCGCGUGUGUGAAGAAGGCCUUCGGGUUGUAAAGUACUUUCAGUGGGGAGGCGUUACCCGCAGAAGAAGCACCGGCUAACUCCGUGCCAGCAGCCGCGGUAAUAC
rnacentral:rRNA from 1 species